AACAACUUGCAACAAGCUUGAUGGCAUUAUCAGACUUGUUGCAAGGUUGUUCUAGCAAGUCCGAUAUACAGUCAUGGUAAAACAAGAGUGUUGCAAGGUUGAGGACACAAGGUUGUAACAAUAUUGUUAUGUUAUGACUGUAUCGGACUUAUUAAUGGAACAACCUUGUAACAAGUCUGAUAAUAUCAACAAGGUUGUUACAAGUUGUU